GGGGAUAUAGCUCAGAGGCAUAAGCGCCUACCUGGUGAGUGCAAGUUCCUGAGUUCAAUUCCCAGUACCUCCC
rnacentral:tRNA from 1 species